UUGUGUGAAAUUGGCAGAAGAUUUGUGGGUUGAGACAGCAAUGGGUGGAUCCCUUAUUUAUGAGGAUAGCAAAUAGUGUUCUUGUAAUACGCAUACAAGAACACUAGCCCAGGAAGAUACUUGAAGAUGAAUAUUUUCUUUCGCGACUGCAAAUCCGGGAGAAGAGGUUAGCUAAAGGUGGAAUUCUCUUAGCUGCUACACUUAAUUUCGUAGUGGAGAAUCACAAACAGAAGACAAACAUCUCUAGUUUAGAAAGAGUAUGAUAACUUCCAUCAGGAAAAUAGGUAAAAUAGUUAAAUAUUUAUAUAUUCGGGUGAAUUUGCAUGCUUAGCUUCAUUGUACCUUUAUUUUGGGGAUUAAGGUUCUGUUUUUUAAUUUUUGGCAAAUUCUUCAUAUUACACUCUUAGUACUGGCUUUUUCAAGAGAUAAA